rnacentral:rRNA from 1 species
GACGAACGCUGGCGGCGUGCUUAACACAUGCAAGUCGAACGGAAAGGCCCCUUUGGGGGUACUCGAGUGGCGAACGGGUGAGUAACACGUGAGUAACCUGCCCUUGACUUCGGGAUUACUUCAGGAAACUGGGGCUAAUUCCGGCUAGGAAUCCUUGCUGCAUGGUGGGGGUUGGAAAGCUUCGGCGGUUUUGGAUGGACUGGCGGCGUAUCAGCUUGUUGGUGGGGUAGUGGCUUACCAAGGCUUGGACGGGUAGCCGGCCUGAGAGGGCGACCCGCCACAUUGGGUCUGAGAGACGGCCCAGACUCCUACGGUAGGCAGAUGGGGGGAAGAUUGAACAAUGGGCGGCAGCCGGAUGCAGCAGCGCCGCGUGCGGGAUGACGGCCUUCGGGUUGUAAACCGCUUUCAGCAGGGGCGAAGCUUGUGGUGACGGUACCUGCAGAAGAAGCACCGGCUAACUACGUG